GGUUUCUUCCUCCCGAGCCGCACACCCGAAGACCUUUUCUUCAUCUUCUUCUCCACCCGAGCCGAAGCUUUCCCCUGCCCUAAAAUCGCCGAAAGCUUGCUCUAUGCCCACUGGUGCCGACGCCGAGCACUGCCGCUCUUCCUCAGCCCUAGCCGCCGCACGGGACAUUGCCGGCCACCAGGACCGACCCAGGCCGCUGUCGCCGUGGGGAUCCCAGCGCCGCCGACGCCCUUCUCCCGUUUCUCUCUGCCCUAGUUUUGCACAGUGUCACCGCUACCACAACCGGCAACCGGCUGUCCUCCCUCUGCCGACGCCGACUCCUCCACUGUGCAGUGCCUAGCCGACUCCUUCCUUUGUCCUAGGUUCCCUCUUGUUGCUGGAUCCGAACCCUAACUCCUCUGGGUUGGGUUGUGGUCAGCCUACCCGACUGCAGCUUCUCCGGAUCUUGGCAGUAAGUUCUAUAGGAUUUGAGCAGUGUUGAGGCAUCAGGGAAUAUGGGUAAGACAUUGUUGGAGAAAGCCCUAAUCACUGUGAUCUUCCUUUUGUGUGAUCCAGAGGAACUUGACGCGAGACAAGUUUCUUAACGUCCGGAUUUGGACUGAUUGGAUCUUUCCUAUUGGAGGCGGGUACCUCUUGACUUAUCUUUUAUGAUAUUGUCAUUGGAUAUGUAUAGUAUUUUAUAACUACAUGCAAUGAACAU